GCUUACAACGUUGCUCUGUUAGCGUCAAACAAAUCAAACCACGUCCAAAGCGUGCCAUAAAGUUAAUCGCUUCUGGCGUAAUACAUUCUGCCGCCAUCA
rnacentral:antisense_RNA from 1 species